AGCGAACGCUGGCGGCAGGCCUAACACAUGCAAGUCGAACGAACUCUUCGGAGUUAGUGGCGGACGGGUGAGUAACACGUGGGAACGUGCCUUUAGGUUCGGAAUAACUCAGGGAAACUUGAGCUAAUACCGGAUGUGCCCUUCGGGGGAAAGAUUUAUCGCCUUUAGAGCGGCCCGCGUCUGAUUAGCUAGUUGGUGAGGUAAAGGCUCACCAAGGCGACGAACAGUAGCUGGUCUGAGAGGAUGAUCAGCCACAUUGGGACUGAGACACGGCCCAAACUCCUACGAGAGGCAGCAGUGGGGAAGCGUGCGCAAGGGGCGAAAGCCUGACGCAGCCAUGCCGAGUGAAUGAUGAAGGUCUUAGGAUUGUAAAAUUCUUUCACCGGGGACGAUAAUGACGGUACCCGGAGAAGAAGCCCCGGCUAACUUCGU
rnacentral:rRNA from 1 species